AGCGUAGCGGUCUAACGCAUCUCCGUAUCAAGGAGAUGGUCGCGGGUUCGAAUCCCAC
rnacentral:tRNA from 1 species